rnacentral:sRNA from 1 species
GGGGGCGGCCCUCCUUGGGCGUUUCCUCCCUAAACCUGGGCCGGUCAUCCUUCGGGAUGGCUGGCCUUUUUUCGUUUGAGG